rnacentral:rRNA from 1 species
CAGCACCUCAAGUGGUCAGGAUGAUUAUUGAGCCUAAAGCAUCCGUAGCCGGCGCUGUAAGUUUUCGGUUAAAUCUGUACGCUCAACGUACAGGCUGCCGGGAAUACUGCAGCGCUAGGGAGUGGGAGAGGUAGACGGUACUCGGUAGGAAGGGGUAAAAUCCUUUGAUCUAUUGAUGACCACCUGUGGCGAAGGCGGUCUACCAGAACACGUCCGACGGUGAGGGAUGAAAGCUAGGGGAGCGAACCGGAUUAGAUACCCGAGUAGUCC